AUAUUCUGGAGUAAAGAUGAACUGGAGAUGAUUCGUUCCAGCCCAGUAUAUCAAGAAACUUUCGAUAAAAAGGCUUACAUUGUGAAGGAAUUUUCAGCGCUUAGACCAGUUUGUAUCAUCUUAAGAACCUGUUAAUUUAGAUUGUUAGCUAAUUUGUGAUCAUUUAUUUAUUCAAUUAUAAAGUAUAGAUGCUGGAAUAAGAUUCUUCCUUCAUAAAUAAAUGGUGUUAAAAGAAUAUUCA
rnacentral:lncRNA from 1 species